UGUUUUCCUAAAAAACAGAAUGCCUUAUUGACAUAAGUAUUCAAACCCUUUGCUAUGAGACUUGAAAUUGAGCUCAGGUGCAUCCUGUUUUCAUUGAUCAUCAUUGAGGAGUUUCUUGAUUAGAGUCCACCUGUGGUAAAUUCUAUUGAUUGGACAUGAUUUGGAAAGGCACACACCUGUCCCAGUUGACAGUGUAUGUCUGAGCAAAAACCCAGCUAUGAGGUCGAAGGAAUUGUCUGUAGAGCUCCGAGACAGGAUUGUUUCAAAACACAGAUCUGGGGAAUGGUACCAAAAAAUGUCUGCAGCAUUGAAGGUUCUCAAGAACACAGUUGCCUCCAUCAUUCUUAAAUGGAAUACGUUUGGAACCACCAAGACUAUUCCUAGAGCUGGCCGCCUGGCCAAACUGAGCAAUCGGGGGAGAAGGGCCUUGGUCAGGGACCAAGAACCUGAUGGACACUCUGACAGAGUUCCUCUGUGGAGAUGGGAGAAACUUCCAGAAGGACAACCAUCUCUGCAGCACUCAGGCCUUUAUGGUAGAGUGACCAGACGGAAGCCACUCCUCAGUAAAAAGCACAUGGCAGCCCACUUGGAGUUUGUCAAAAGGCACCUAAAGGACUCUCAGACCAUGGGGAACAAGAUUAUCUGGUCUGAUGAAACCAAGAUUGAACUCUUUGGCCUGAAUGCCAAGCGUCACGUCUGGAGGAAACCAAUACCAUCCCUAUGGUGAAGCAUGGUGGUGGUAGCAUCAUGUUGUAUGGAUGUUUUUCAGCGGCAGGAACUGGAAUCAAGGGAAAGAUGAACGGCGCAAAGUACAGAGAUCCUUGAUGAAAACCUGAUUCAGAACCCUCAGACUGGGGCGAAGGUUCACCUUCCAACAGGACAACGACCCUAAGCACACAGCUAAGACAACGCCGGAGUGGCUUCUGGACAAGUCUCUGUUCUUUCUUUGUCAUUAUGGGAUAUUGUGUGUAGACAACUAAACCUUUUUUUACUUAAUUAGUGAAGUCUGCAAAAGUCAACUCUGUUUGUAACAUUCUAGUUUUGGGAACAGAAAAUUGUAUGUAGAUCAAAUGUUUCAUCGAUGAGAAAAUUAGCAGAAUGUAGGCCAAAAUCCAUCUUGAUCCAUCUUCUCCCACUGCCGGCAACUGGGCUUCCUCUCACUACCAUGCAUUGUAGUGAGUGGAAACGCCAAGCGGACGCUUCACAUGUAUACAUCCAGUGAAAUAUCUGUCUCAUUCGUCUAUCUGUGGCUGAACUGAGGUCCAUACUCCAGUCCAGGUGGUGGUAAUGCACCUUUAAGUUGGAUUCCAACCAAUAAAGACCAUAGAGGAAGACCAAAAUAGGCAAGAUUACUAGAAACCAACUAGGUUUUCCCUUUUAUCUGUAGAUUAAUUGUCGGAGUAGAGAACACAGGAUUUUGUGUGACUCAAAAUGGAUCAAAAUUCUACAAAGAUCAAGGGAAAAAAGGACCUUGUGCGUUUCCGAUAAAACAUCAACCUGAUGUUUACACCCCAGGAUAAAUUAGCUAGCAACUGCAAACUAACUAGCUAAAUGUCCAUGAAUGUAUCGACCUGUCCCCAAAUGAAUAUAGUUGGUUCAGAGUCCGUUUUGAUAUUUCAACCUUCUUAUCCUGAUCGCGUCUGGUGUGGCUGGACCAAAAUCAACAUGCGCGUGCCCUGUGACAGUACCACUACAUAUUCGUAGAAAGCUAGCACGUGACUGAAGUGCUGCCUGAUUGUGAUGUCAAAUGCCGGUGCCUCUAAAAUGAUGUGACCUUCCAUUACCCCCACACUAGGACUAUUCCAUAAGCAACCGAUAGAUGACAAUUCCUUGGCAGGUUUAAAAAGAUGUUAUUCAAAGGUAAUAAUCGUGACUCAUUUUGUUUUACCUUGCGACCGUAUCACUGCUGCUGGUAUUCUGCUAAAAUUAUGAUAGACCGGUAAGUUUAAUGUGAGUAGGACAGCGUGUCCUGGGCUUUGAAAAAUAGGAAUUGCGUAAACCUAACCUGCAAUUCGGAAACAAUUGACUAAGGCUGUGCCCCUCCAUCCAUGUCAUUUUAGAUUCUUUCAUUUAUAAUGGAUUUGGAUUAAAGUGUAUGGUUUUUUAGGUAGUUAGAUAUGUAUGGCAGAUCAUUGACCUCUUCUUAGCUUGCUAUAGCUAGCUAGCUCAGCAUCACUGACAGCUCCUUGUCAAUAAUAGCGGCAAAUUACUAACUUGAACAAACUAACAGCACUACCCAUCUGACGAGCCAACUCACCUGUCAGCUUUCUUCUAUAGAAAAAUGUGUUGUCGCAGUAAGAAACCCAAUUACAAUUAGCUAACUUGUUUUUGUUUUAACUAUAAAUUACAUAUUGGUUCGCUAAAUCAACAGAUUGUUAGUAGAAUACCAGCAGCAGUGAUACAAGCCCGCGAUGUCGGCUACAAUGCUCCGUUGAUGGUUAGCUAACUUUAGCUGGCUGAGCUAGCUCAGGGCAGUGUGGAAAAUUUGGCCCGUGUAGUUAUAUCUUUGAGCAAAAAGUUGUUGAUUUGGUAGCUAGAUCACGUCAUCUCAAAUGACCUUUCGAUGGUAGAAUCACCUUCAUCAGGGAGGUGACCCAGUUGCUUGCUGUUAGUCAACUGAAUAUUGCCCAGACUAAUCCAGACCAAGUCCUGGAUAACGUUAGGUGAUACACCAGAGUGUAGCUAACCUAACGUGUUCUGUAUCUUCCACUAGGUUACUAUGAGUGACAUUGCAAAGGGAAAGAAGGCCUUCGUUCAGAAAUGCGAACAGUGCCACACUGUCAAAGACGGUGGGAAGCACAAAGUGGGUCCAAACCUUUGGGGUCUGUUCGGACGUAAGACUGGUCAGGCUGAGGGCUACUCCUACACGGACGCCAACAAGAGCAAAGGCAUUACUUGGGGUGAAGCCACCCUGAUGGAGUACUUGGAAAACCCUAAUUAAUACAUUCCAGGAACAAAGAUUAUCUUUGCUGGCAUCAAGAAGAAUGGCGAGCGCCAAGAUCUUGUUGCAUAUUUGUAGUCUGCGACAUCAUAAAACAUUGUAUUUGAAGAUAAAUAUUUAAGUUCAAUGUGUUUUUAGUUUGAGUUUGCGCUCCCUUUUUGAUCUGUACUUCAAUGACACAAAAUCACUAUUUAAUGGCCAGGACUCAUCCAUCUUUGUGUUGUCAUGGAAUUUGUCCUUUGUGUUGUCAUGGAAUUUGUCCUAUGCCAGACCUAUCUUACUUGUGAACAGAAUCCAAUAUUACUUGAUGUAAUAUUGAGAUAUCAGUCAUGGUUGAUCAGCUGGUGGUUACUGAAGGCCCCUGGUUCUCCCUCCUGAAGGAAUGACAAUAUAUUCCCUGGUUUCACAGGAGUUGUUGAAAGUUAAGUUAGUUUACUUUAAUGAAAGUUAUAAGUAUUCCAGAAGGCUGUUGGUAAUUGUGAAGUGGCUAUAUGCACUAUGGUUAUGUACCUGAAGGAAUUGAUCAAUAAAGUGCUGACAUUUGA